rnacentral:rRNA from 1 species
CCCUUAGAUGUUCUGGGCCGCACGCGUGCUACACUGAUGCAUUCAACGAGUCUAAAACCUGGUCUGAUAGGGCUGGGUAAUCUUUUGAAAGUGCAUCGUGAUUGGGAUAGAUGAUUGCAAUUCUUCAUCUUCAACGAGGAAUGCCUAGUAAACGCAAGUCAUCAGCUUGCAUUGAUUACGUCCCUGCCCUUUGUACACACCGCCCGUCGCUCCUACCGAUUGAAUGACGAAGCAAGACUUGCGGAACUGGGUCUUCGAGACUUCGGUCUUGAUGACUUGGCCGAUAAGCGGAACAAGCUUCAUUGUUUAGAGGAAGUAAAAGUCGUAACA